rnacentral:rRNA from 1 species
CCUACGGGAGGCAGCAGUGAGGAAUAUUGGUCAAUGGCCGGAAGGCUGAACCAGCCAUGCCGCGUGAAGGUCAGUGCCCUAUGGGCGUUAAACUUCUUUUGUGCGGGAGCAAUAAUGGUCACGUGUGGCCAGACGAGAGUACCGUACGAAUAAGCAUCGGCUAACUCCGUGCCAGCAGCCGCGGUAAUACGGGGAGUGCAAGCGUUAUCCGGAUUUAUUGGGUUUAAAGGGUGCGUAGGCUGUGAGGUAAGUCAGCGGUGAAAUGCCCCCGCUCAACGGGGUGAAGUGCCAUUGAUACUGCCUUGCUGGAAUGCGGAUGCCGUGGGAGGAAUGUGUGGUGUAGCGGUGGAAUGCAUAGAUAUCACACAGAACACCGAUUGCGAAGGCAUCUCACGAAUCCGCGAUUGACGCUGAUGCACGAAAGCGUGGGUAUCAAACAGGAUUAGAUACCCUAGUAGUC